rnacentral:rRNA from 1 species
GGGCCCGCACAAGCGGUGGAGUAUGUGGUUUAAUUCGAUGCAACGCGAAGAACCUUACCAGGGUUUGACAUCCUGCGAAUCUCUUGGAAACGAGAGAGUGCCUUCGGGAACGCAGUGACAGGUGGUGCAUGGCUGUCGUCAGCUCGUGUCGUGAGAUGUUGGGUUAAGUCCCGUAACGAGCGCAACCCUUAUCCUUAUUUGCCAGCACGUAAUGGUGGGAACUCUAAGGAGACUGCCGGUGACAAACCGGAGGAAGGAGAGGAUGAUGUCAAGUCAUCAUGGCCCUUACGGCCUGGGCUACACACGUGCUACAAUGGGCAGUACAGAGGGCCGCAAACCCGCGAGGGGAG